UAUCAUUGGAGACCAUGUCAUCGAGGGCCUGGAGCUCCUUCUGGAUUCUCUUCAGCUUCACAGCCUCUGCCUGAGUCUGUUUGGACCUGUGGAGAAAUACAAACUUUUGAGCUCUUUGACAGCCGGGGUCUGCUCCUCUGCAGCCGGCUGGUGGUUUUCAUUCAGCUUCGACUGCACUUCCACUUUGAUGGCCGGAGGUCCCUUCGGAGCUGCGGGCUGAGGCUCUUUCUGGGACGGCGGCUUGCCCGACGAGGGAAACAAUCACUCACUGUAAAACAAAUCGGGCAGGAUUUUUUUCUGUUUCAUUUUCUAAACCCGAGCUGUCCGUCCAGAAGAAACUGCUGUAGAGACAACGCCCGGCCUCCAUGCCGAACCAGUUGAGGAUCUGCUUUUUCGUUCUGCCGUGUCACUCUUUCUUAAAUUGCGGAUCAAAAUGGGCCAUCAGUCUGUGUCAGCCGGCUUCCCACAUGACAAGAAUAAAAAUGAGUCGUCGUUAGUUUGGGUCACAGCAGGACAAGAGAUGAAUCUGCAUGUUUCGUCCCCAAAGGGGGAAAAAAUCUGUCUCAACGUCGUCACUACACCA